AACGAACGCUGGCGGCAUGCCUAACACAUGCAAGUCGAACGAGACCUUCGGGUCUAGAGGCGCACGGGUGCGUAACGCGUGGGAACCUGCCCUUAGGUUCGGAAUAACUCCCCGAAAGGGGUGCUAAUACCGGAUAAUGUCUUCGGACCAAAGAUUUAUCGCCUUUGGAUGGGCCCGCGUUGGAUUAGCUAGUUGGUAGGGUAAAAGCCUACCAAGGCGACGAUCCAUAGCUGGUCUGAGAGGAUGAUCAGCCACACUGGGACUGAGACACGGCCCAGACUCCUACGGGAGGCAGCAGUGGGGAAUAUUGGACAAUGGGCGAAAGCCUGAUCCAGCAAUGCCGCGUGAGUGAUGAAGGCCUUAGGGUUGUAAAGCUCUUUUACCCGGGAUGAUAAUGACAGUACCGGGAGAAUAAGCUCCGGCUAACUCCGUGC
rnacentral:rRNA from 1 species